UACGGAGGGUGCAAGCAUUAUUCGGAAUUAUUGGGCGUAAAGGGCGCGUAGGCGGAUAUGUAAGUCAGAUGUGAAAUUCCGAAACUCAAUUUCGGAGCUGCAUUUGAAACUGCAAAUCUCGAGGAUUGGAGGAGAGAACGGAAUUCCACGUGUAGCGGUGAAAUGCGUAGAUAUGUGGAGGAACACCGGUGGCGAAAGCGGUUCGCUAGCUUAUACCUGACGCUGAGGCGCGAGAGCAAGGGGAUCAAACAGG
rnacentral:rRNA from 1 species